GUCAGUGCAUGACAGAACUUGGGC
rnacentral:miRNA from 1 species